ACGAUCAUCAGUGGCUCCUACGAAAGCCUAGGAUGAGAUCAAGAACUGACGAUUUUGUUUGAUGGUUUGUAAAUAGGACACAGAUACACUGGUUUAUCCAAGUGUGAAGCUUCCACGACUUUGACAAGACUGAUGGCGUAUACGGACAGUAGCGGCAAUUUGUUAGGUGGUUUGUAAAUAGCACGCCUUCUUUUAUUCUUUCACUUUCAUUUGCUAACUGCCGCAGUUCAUUCUUCCAAUUAUUUGCGAACGUUUUUCUUGUCUUUCCCCCAAUUUUAAAAAAUACAAUUGGUCCUUGUACUAAUUUUUAGCAAACGACAAUUGACUUGGUCCGCUAAGUAUGUAGAAUCCUCCUACUUUCGGUCUUUUCCUUGGACAUGAUUCCUGUAAUUCUCGUGUCAGCUAAUGUUCACAUCUUUUUGCCAUUGGUUGCAGGCAUGUUUUUGCCACUUUGUCUUCUGUCGCCGAGAUCUUCAUCUUCCUUUACGUUGGAAUGGAAGCGUAUCGAGAAGUGGGGAGUUGUCAGCAAUAGUACUGGAAAAAUCGAUCAAGGUCAGCUCGAUGUUGUUGGGACUCUGUUUCGAUUGGAA